AUGACUUUUGAUACUGAGAAUGAACUGCAAGAGUACUAAAUCAAACAAGGUAAAGCAAAUGGCUAUGGUGUGACAAGAAGAAACUCACACAAUGAUGAGAACGGACAACUAAAGUCCCUUACACUCUCCUGCUCUCGCUAUGAUAGGAUUUAGUAAAACUCAAGAAAUAUGUUGAAGCUAAAUCCAACAUCGAGAAUAGGAUGCAAAGCUAAAAUUAAUAUUAUACGUGUGCCCAAUGGGAGGCUUCAUCUUUACACAAUGAUUUCGUAUCAUAGUCACACAAUGAGUCCACAUAAAUCUUGGUUAUUUAGAUACAAUAAAAAGUUAGAGUACCAUGACAAGCAAAUUCUUGCGUUGAAUGACCAUGUCAGUAUACGAGUAAACAAGAAUUUCAAUUCUUUUGUGGUGGCAGCAGAUGGUCAUGCGAACCUAACUUUUGGUAAGAAAAAUUGUCAGAAUUUUCUAGAGAAAACUAGAAGGUUAAAAACUUGGUAUUGGUGAUGUUAUAGUGGUUUGUGACUGUUUUCUUCAAAAUGCAGUCGGACAACCCAAACUUUUUUCAUGGCUCUUGAUGGUGAACCCCGACUUAGGAAUGUUUUUUGGGCUAAUGCCAGAGGUAGAGCAGUGUAUGACUCUUUUCAUGACAUCAUUACUUUUGACACAACAUAUUUGGUGAACAAAUAUGAUAUGCCUUUUGCUUGUUUUAUUGGAGUGAAUCAUCAUGGGCAGUCAGUGUUGCUAGGAUGUGCUUUAUUAUCAAAUGAAGAUUUGCAAACAUGUGUUUGGUUAUUUCAAGCAUGGCUUAAAUUUAUGUCAAAUCGUCAACCGGAAGUUAUUGUAAAUGACCAAGCAAAAGCAAUUCAGAAUGGUGUGGAAAUAGGUUCCCCGAAAUCUCGAUACAGAUGGUGCUUGUGGCAUAUAAUGAAAAAGAUACAUGAGUAGUUAGGUGGACAUGAUGAAUAUGAUCACAUCAAGGUUGCCGUUGGCAAGACAUUCUGUGAUUCAUUAACAAUUAUAGAGUUUCAAGGUGCUUGGAUGCAUAUGCUUGAGAAGUAUAGUCUUGGAGAUAAUGAAUGUUUUUAAUUGCUUUAUGACAAUCCACAUCGUUAGAUUCUAAUAUUUGUGAAAGAUGCCUUCUGGCCAAGUAUGUCUACUACACAACAUAGUGAGAGUAUGAAUGUCUUCUUUGAUGGGCAUGCUAACAAAACUACAUUGAAGCAUUUUGUUAUCCAAUACGAGAAUGCUUUUUAUGAUAAAGUUGAGAAUGGGAAUAUUGCUGAUUUUAGUUCCUUUUAUUCAACCAUACCUUCGAUCACACACUUUGACAUCGAGAAGCAAUUUCAAUCAGUUUAA
rnacentral:rRNA from 1 species